CCCUUAGAUGUUCUGGGCCGCACGCGCGCUACACUGAUACAUGCAACGAGUUUAUAACCUUGAUCUGACGGUCUGGGUAAUCUUCAAACUGUAUCGUGUUAGGGAUCGAUUCUUGCAAUUUUUAAUCGUAAACGAGGAAUUCCUAGUAAACGCAAGUCAUCAGCUUGCAUUGAUUACGUCCCUGCCCUUUGUACACACCGCCCGUCGACUCUACCGAUUGAAUGGUUCGGUGAAAACUUUGGACUGUGGCAUUGUCCUUCAUUGGACUUCGCCGUAGGAAAUUGUUUAAACCUCAUCAUUUAGAGGAAGAAGAAGUCGUAACA
rnacentral:rRNA from 1 species